GUUGGUCUGAAAGUCACUAACUUGAGUUGUCUUCUCAAAUGAGAAAGGAGAAUGAGACGUGACAUGAACCCCGUGGAUACCCUCAAGGGCAUUGCUCGACUUUGAUACAUUUUGCAGACUCAUGGUAAUCUUGCUAAACCACAGACAACCAACAUUUAUCUAUACGCCACCAGAAUAAUCAAACUACUUUGUUGUCUCCCUUGUUCUGUUCUGAUGACAAAAAUAAAAAUGUAUUCAUAAAUUAAACCAUAAUAAUUGGUCAUACAUGUGUUUUCCAGAGAGAAAUAUUGGUUACAAGUCAACACCUAAAAUUUGAUUGCUGCAUGAUAUGCUGAAUUAUCAAUGACCAGAAUUGUAUCUGCUUUUUCUCUUUUCCAUUUCGUAUGAAUUUUAUGUGAAUAAGGGCCACAAAGCAUAUAGCGUUUCGAUAAAAUUCAACGGAAAAGCUAAGAAGAAGCAAACACACAUAGCUAUAUUACAGAAAAUGAUUGCAUAGAAAACAUGCAAACCUAUAGAGAAAGAUAGAACCUGAAGCAAUGGCCGUAAAAACUCGAAAAGAAUUGUUG